rnacentral:rRNA from 1 species
AUACGGAGGGUGCAAGCGUUAAUCGGAAUUACUGGGCGUAAAGCGCGCGUAGGCGGUUUGGUAAGUCGGAUGAGAAAGCCCCGGGCUCAACCUGGGAAUUGCAUUCGAUACUGCCGAACUAGAGUAUGGUAGAGGGAAGUGGAAUUUCCGGUGUAGCGGUGAAAUGCGUAGAUAUCGGAAGGAACACCAGUGGCGAAGGCGACUUCCUGGGCCAAUACUGACGCUGAGGUGCGAAAGCGUGGGGAGCAAACAGGAUUAGAAACCCCAGUAGUCC